UGUUUAUAGAAAGUAUUGUAAAUAAAACCUGCUCAAUGAUAUUAUUCAAUAGCGGCGUGAGUCCUAAGGUAGCAUAAUCAUUAGCCUUUUAAUUGUGGGAUGGAAUGAAAGGUUAAACGCAUACAAAUUAGAUUUUGAUCAUAUCAUUUUAAUUAGAUUUUCAAGUUAAAAAUCUUGAAAUUCAUUUAGGGACGAGAAGACCCUAUAAAGUUUAAUUCUAACUAUAUUUCUAUAAAUAUGUAAGAAUUUUGUUGGGGUAACAUUAUAAGACAAAAUUUUAUAAUUUUAAUUUAAUAAUUUGAUCCAUUAUUAGUGACUAUGAGAUUAAAUUACUUUAGGGAUAACAGCAUAAUUAAAAUUUUGGAGUUCAUAUUUACAAUUUUGAUUGUGACCUCGAUGUUGGAUUAAUGUUCUAUAUGGUGAAGAAGCCUUAAUUUAGAAAGUCUGUUCGACUUUUAAUUAAUUACA
rnacentral:rRNA from 1 species